GGUGCGCGCGGGGCGGGGUGUGCCGGCCCGCGCGGGUUCGAUCCGCGAUUCGCCGAAAUGCCCGCCAGUCCCAUGAUCGUCGUCCGGGGCGCAUCCC
rnacentral:tRNA from 1 species